rnacentral:rRNA from 1 species
ACACAUGCAAGUCGAGGGGCAGCAUGGUCUUAGCUUGCUAAGGCCGAUGGCGACCGGCGCACGGGUGAGUAACGCGUAUCCAACCUGCCUUACACUCUUGGACAGCCUUCUGAAAGGGAGAUUAAUACAAGAUGUUAUCAUGAGUAAGCAUUUUCGCAUGAUUAAAGGUUUACCGGUGUAAGAUGGGGAUGCGUUCCAUUAGAUAGUAGGCGGGGUAACGGCCCACCUAGUCUUCGAUGGAUAGGGGUUCUGAGAGGAAGGUCCCCCACAUUGGAACUGAGACACGGUCCAAACUCCUACGGGAGGCAGCAGUGAGGAAUAUUGGUCAAUGGACGAGAGUCUGAACCAGCCAAGUAGCGUGAAGGAUGAAGGUUCUAUGGAUUGUAAACUUCUUUUAUACGGGAAUAAACGAAUCCACGCGUGGAUUUUUGCAUGUACCGUAUGAAUAAGGAUCGGCUAACUCCGUGCCAGCAGCCGCGGUAAUACGGAGGAUCCGAGCGUUAUCCGGAUUUAUUGGGUUUAAAGGGAGCGUAGAUGGGUUGUUAAGUCAGUUGUGAAAGUUUGCGGCUCAACCGUAAAAUUGCAAUUGAUACUGGCAGUCUUGAGUACAGUUGAGGUAGGCGGAAUUCGUGGUGUAGCGGUGAAAUGCUUAGAUAUCACGAAGAACUCCGAUUGCGAAGGCAGCUUACUAACCUGUAACUGACAUUGAUGCUCGAAAGUGUGGGUAUCAAACAGGAUUAGAUACCCUGGUAGUCCACACGGUAAACGAUGAAUACUCGCUGUAGGCGAUAUACAGUCUGCGGCCAAGCGAAAGCAUUAAGUAUUCCACCUGGGGAGUACGCCGGCAACGGUGAAACUCAAAGGAAUUGACGGGGGCCCGCACAAGCGGAGGAACAUGUGGUUUAAUUCGAUGAUACGCGAGGAACCUUACCCGGGCUUAAAUU